rnacentral:rRNA from 1 species
AUUGAACGCUGGCGGAAUGCUUUACACAUGCAAGUCGAACGGCGAGCACGGGAGCUUGCUCCUGGUGGCGAGUGGCGAACGGGUGAGUAAUACAGUCGGAACGUACCCGAGUUAUGGGGGAUAACUAACCGAAAGGUUAGCUAAUACCGCAUUACGCCCUGAGGGGGAAAGCGGGGGACCGUAAGGCCUCGCGGUAAUUG